CCUUCGAUAGCUCAGUUGGUAGAGCGGUGGACUGUAGAGAAAGUUUGGAGUGUGAGCGCUCAAGAAGUGAUCAAACCUCCAAAUCAUUGUAGAAAUCCAUAGGUCACUGGUUCAAAUCCGGUUCGAAGGA
rfam:Anopheles gambiae M scf_1925491379 genomic scaffold, whole genome shotgun sequence.